UCAUUAUUUGUUUUGGUCCGAAUGACCUUAUCAGAUUCUACCACCUCUGUGAACCGUUGACCUCCGGGUUAAUAAUCAAACAUCAGUGUAACGAACGUAAGAGUAUCUUAAUUAAACAAAACUUUUAACAACGGAUCUCUUGGCUCUCGCAUCGAUGAAGAACGCAGCGAAAUGCGAUAAGUAAUGUGAAUUGCAGAAUUCAGUGAAUCAUCGAAUCUUUGAACGCACCUUGCGCCUUUUGGUAUUCCGAAAGGCAUGCCUGUUUCAGUGUCAUGAAAUCUCAAUCUAAUAUGUUUUCUGAACAUGUUAGGCUUGGACUUGGGUGUCUGCCAGCAAUGGCUCACCUCAAAUGACUUAGUGGAACAUCCCACAUCAGUGUUAGACGUAAUAAGUUUCGUCUCUCCUUGUGGUGAUGACUGCUCAAAACCUGCCAUCGCGCACCUUUUGACUUUGACCUGAAAUCAGGUAGGGCUACCCGCUGAACUUAA
rnacentral:misc_RNA from 1 species